GAUGAACGCUGGCGGCGUGCCUAAUACAUGCCAGUCGAGCGAACAGACGAGGAGCUUGCUCCUCUGACGUUAGCGGCGGACGGGUGAGUAACACGUGGAUAACCUACCUAUAAGACUGGGAUAACUUCGGGAAACCGGGGCUAAUACCGGAUAAUAUAUUGAACCGCAUGGUUCAAUAGUGAAAGACGGUUUUGCUGUCACUUAUAGAUGGAUCCGCGCCGCAUUAGCUAGUUGGUAAGGUAACGGCUUACCAAGGCAACGAUGCGUAGCCGACCUGAGAGGGUGAUCGGCCACACUGGAACUGAGACACGGUCCAGACUCCUACGGGAGGCAGCAGUAGGGAAUCUUCCGCAAUGGGCGAAAGCCUGACGGAACAACGCCGCGUGAGUGAUGAAGGUCUUCGGAUCGUAAAACUCUGUUAUUAGGGAAGAACAAAUGUGUAAGUAACUAUGCACGUCUUGACGGUACCUAAUCAGAAAGCCACGGCUAACUACGUG
rnacentral:rRNA from 1 species